rnacentral:tRNA from 1 species
ACCUGGGUGGCUGAGUCGGUUAAGCGUAGGACUUCAGUUCAGGUCAUGAUCUCACGGUUUGUGGGUUCAAGCCCCACUUCUGGUC